UACGAAGGGGGCUAGCGUUGCUCGGAAUUACUGGGCGUAAAGGGAGCGUAGGCGGACAUUUUAAGUCAGGGGUGAAAUCCCAGAGCUCAACUCUGGAACUGCCUUUGAUACUGGGUGUCUUGAGUGUGAGAGAGGUAUGUGGAACUCCGAGUGUAGAGGUGAAAUUCGUAGAUAUUCGGAAGAAACACCAGUGGCGAAGGCGACAUACUGGCUCAUUACUGACGCUGGAGGCUCGAAAGCCGUGGGGAGCAAACAGG
rnacentral:rRNA from 1 species